rnacentral:rRNA from 1 species
AAGGUUAAUCCGCCCGGGGUUAGUCGGAUCCUAAGCCGAGGCCGAAAGGCGUAGGCGAUGGGAAACAGGCACAAAGAUUCCUGUACCACCGCGUGACCGUUUGAGCGAUGGGGUGACGCAGCAGGAUAGGGCGCUUGCCGAACGGAAGUGGCAGGCCAAGCGUGUGGGAGGUAGCUCAGGAAAAUCCGGGCUACAUAAACUCCGAGGCGUUAUGGGACGUGGAUCCUUCGGGUGAAGCGGAUCGCUUGAUUCCACACUGCCAAGAAAAACCUCUAGUGAGGUCGCCGGUGACCGUACCGUAAACCGACACAGGUGGAUGGGAUGAGAAUUCUAAGGCGCUCGGGAGAACCCUCCUUAAGGAACUCGACCAAUUGGCCCCGUAACUUCGGAAGAAGGGGUGCUCUGGCCGGUGAAGGGCUUGCCCCGUAAGCUGGUUGGAGUUGCAACAAAGAGGCUCAGGCGACUGUUUACUAAAAACACAGGUCUCUGCUAAGUCGCAAGACGACGUAUAGGGACUGACGCCUGCCCAAUGCCGGAAGGUUAACGGGAGAGGUUAGGCGCAGUAAUGCGCCGAAGCCUUGAACCGAAGCCCCGGUUAAUGGCGGCCGUAACUAUAACGGUCCUAAGGUAGCGAAAUUCCUUGUCGGGUAAGUUCCGACCUGCACGAAUGGCGUAACGAUCUGAGCGUUGUCUCGAGGAGGGACCCGGUGAAGUUGUAAUACCUGUGAAGAUGCAGGUUACCCGCGACAGGACGGAAAGACCCCGUGGAGCUUUACUGCAGCUUGAUAUUGACCACUGUUUUAUUCUGUAUAGGAUAGGUGGGAGGCGUCGAAGCUGGGGCGUCAGCCUCGGUGGAGCCACCCUUGGAAUACCACCCUGAAUAAAAUGGUGGUCUAACUCCGAACCCGUGAAGCCGGGCGGAGGACAGUGUCUGGUGGGCAGUUUGACUGGGGCGGUCGCCUCCCAAAGAGUAACGGAGGCGCCCCAAGGUUCCCUCAGCAUGUUUGGAAAUCAUGCGAAGAGCGUAAAGGUAGAAGGGAGCUUGACUGCGAGACUGACAAGUCGAGCAGGUGCGAAAGCAGGGCUUAGUGAUCCAGCGGUCCCGUAUGGAAGGGCCGUUGCUCAUCGGAUAAAAGCUACCCCGGGGAUAACAGGCUAAUAACCCCCAAGAGUUCACAUCGACGGGGUUGUUUGGCACCUCGAUGUCGGCUCGUCACAUCCUGGGGCUGAAGCAGGUCCCAAGGGUUCGUCUGUUCGCCGAUUAAAGUGGCACGCGAGCUGGGUUUAGAACGUCGUGAGACAGUUCGGUCCCUAUCCGUCGCGGGCGUAGGAGAUUUGAGGGAAGCUGCCCCUAGUACGAGAGGACCGGGGUGGACGAACCUAGGGUGAUCCAGUUGUCACGCCAGUGGCAUCGCUGGGUAGCCAUGUUCGGAAGGGAUAAGCGCUGAAAGCAUCUAAGCACGAAGCCCAUCCCAAGAUAAGAUCUCCCCGGACCGAGAGGUCCCUAAAGAGCCCUGGAAGAUGACCAGGUUGAUAGGCCGGAGGUGUAAGCUCAGCAAUGGGUUAAGCUUACCGGUACUAAUUGCUCGUGAGGCUUGGCCUU